rnacentral:rRNA from 1 species
CUGCUGCCUCCCGUAGGAGUCUGGGCCGUGUCUCAGUCCCAGUGUGGCCGUCCACCCUCUCAGGCCGGCUGCUGAUCGUCGCUUUGGUGGGCCGUUACCCCGCCAACUGGCUAAUCAGACGCGGGCCCAUCCUGUACCACCGGAGUUUUCAAAGGAUUACCAUGCGGUAUUCCCUAUUAUGCGGUAUUAGCACCUAUUUCUAAGUGUUAUCCCCCGGUACAGGGCAGGUUGCCCACGCGUUACUCACCCGACCGCCACUAAGACAGA